GUCUUCAUGGUGUAGUGGUCAGCACGCUGGAUGCAUAACCCAGAGGUCCAUGGUUCGAUUCCUGGAGAAGGCA
rnacentral:tRNA from 1 species